UACGUAGGGUGCGAGCGUUAAUCGGAAUUACUGGGCGUAAAGCGUGCGCAGGCGGUUUGCUAAGACAGGUGUGAAAUCCCCGAGCUUAACUUGGGAAUUGCGCUUGUAACUGGCAAGCUAGAGUGUGGCAGAGGGGGGUGGAAUUCCACGUGUAGCAGUGAAAUGCGUAGAUAUGUGGAGGAACACCGAUGGCGAAGGCAGCCCCCUGGGUUAACACUGACGCUCAUGCACGAAAGCGUGGGGAGCAAACAGG
rnacentral:rRNA from 1 species